GCAGAUUUUUCCUCCACAAGAAAGUUGGCUCACACUUGAAAUGCACAUCUUGCUGGGGAAGAUAAAUUGAUCUGUUAUUGCUUCAUUAAAGGAGGAGUGACAAAUGGGGUCUACCAGGCUCAGUCUUGAUUCUGACGACAUUUGAUGGUGUCAGCAGAGUAUAAGGACCUGAAUGACCGUUUCUGCAUCCACCGAGUUACCCUCCUGGUGGUUGGUAGUUGAGCAGGGUGGGGUGAUGCCUUGUUCCCUGAUACAAGCCGUGCCUUCAGCAGUGCUGAGCUCCCAGGAUUUAAUUCCUUCAAUUACAAGGAUCUCUGCCGCCCCGUUGUUGCUCCAUGAACCUUCUGACACGAGUCAAAUGCAGAUGAGAUGAAAGGAUUCAUUCAUCCCAAGUGAAGGCAAAGAGCGGCGGUAAUGCAAGAGAAGGGCUUGGCUCGUGCUCUGCUUCCAGCUCACAGUUAUGUCCCCAGGAUGCAGACAUUAAGCAUCUUGCACAGAAUGUGGGAGGAGGAAGAAAAGUCUUUGUCUGAGAUUCACGAAUUUUAAUGGCUUCCAGAAGGGGAAAUCUUUUACUAAAGAGCAAAAGCAAAGUUCAGAGAAAUGCAAAAGCAUUUAUCUCCCUGGUUGCAUUCCUGCCUGCCAAAAGUGGGAGGGUUGGUUUGCUCCUCUGGUAAAAAGGGUCCCAGAGGAAGAAUGAUCUCAGGAGUCAUAAGCAUCUUCUCUUUGUGUGCAAAGAACUUGGAUCAACAGGAAAUAUUCUUUGGUGGGAUCAUGCAGAAUCUGUCUAUCAUUAUUUGCUCCCCACUACUACAUGCCUACACUUCUGCUUCCCACAGUAACUCUGAUUUACCACUGAUAAAUCAUUUUACCUUCAUUAAAAUUUGUAAUUAUAGUAGAUGGAGCUGCAUUUGAAGCAUGUUCACUAGCUGUAAUGGAUGGCAUUUUUGUAUGAUCACAGAAUCAUUAAGGUUGGAAAAGACUUCUAAGAUCAUCUCGUCCAAUUAUCCACCUACCACCAAUAUUGCCUGCUAAACUGUGUCUCUUAAUUUUGUAUCUUUUACCUGGGUGAAACUUACUCGCCAAAAAGUAAGGCUGCAGAGAAUGACACUGCUGUAUCCCAGUCUCAGAAGCAGCACUCUCUCCAUGCACAGAUUUGCCAGGUUCUGCAUAAGUCUGAUAAAUCCAUGUCCUUAUUUCUGUGAAUGAUUUACAAGAUCAGAAAUGUGUCUGAAAGAAAAUCCAGAGCUGGAUGGUGACCUUGGAUUUUAUGCUCUCCCAUGUGUGUAUGCAUGUGCAUACAGCAUCCCUUAUUUUUGCACUUUGUCAUAUAUUGUGCUGGAAAGUUAGCUUUGACAAGUGGAAAAGUAUAAAGAUUAGAACAAUCAUGUUUACAUGUAUUACCACCUGCUACUUCUCUUCUUCCAUGGUGCUUAAAUGUUCAGUCAGAAGGCUUUGAAACACGCUACCUGUAAUGCACUUAAGAACUCUGCUGGAUUUCCAGUUUGCUUUGAUCUCCACUGUCUAGAGACUACCUCAUAGAAUAUAAAUGAAUAUAUUUAGGGGAAAAUUAUUUUCAAGGAGAAAACCCUGAAGUCCUUCCAACAUAUAUGCUUUGCCAGUUGAUGUCAUUCCUAAGGUUGGUUUUUUUGCAUUUUAUCUUCACGUUUCAGGAGGCCUCCAUCUCCGUCUAGAAUGAGCAAUGUAAUGAGGGAAGACCCAUCCAAGAAGAUUAAUCCCAUCUUCCCACUGAAGAUGGAUGUGUUCAGCUCCCCUUGUUGUGGGCGCUGACGUGGCAAGCAAUUCUUUGGUGAUUUUUGUUCACAAAGUAGAUAGAAGAAGAGAUGAAUUAUUAUUUACAGACUAAACAAAGCAAAAUAAAAAUGUAUUUCAUCAAGAAAGAAGGAGAAGGAUGUGAGGGAAAAGAUGGUAAGAUUAAUAUGAUUGGGAAGGAGACAUUGACUAGAGAGCUGGAAAUAGAAGAAAGAUGUGACUAGAUCAGGCUAUGAGCAAACCAGCAGCUUUCUGAGGGCUUUGCAAGCGCAUCUUUCCCAUCUCACCACAUGAAGCCACCAUGCAUGACUGCCAUUUGGAAUUGGGUUGGUGUAAGGAGUAAUCUAUAGCCCUCAAGCUAGCCACUGCUUGAGCUCUAGCCAUGGAGGAGAAGUCACCUCUCACUGGGAAUGGGGAAAACAUCAAAAGCAAUCAACAAGGUUUCAUUUGAAUUGGUCCUAUUCUGUUAGGAGAUCAGAGCCUGCAAAAGAACAACCUACAGAUGAUCUUUUUUCUCCCUGACCUUGUGCUGUUCCCUCUGGACAUGCUGGUGUUGCCAUGCAGAAGACAUUCACUCAACUCUUCUCCAUGACCAGUGCAGGAGUGGUGUGAAUGUCAGGAAACUCAGCCAGGAAUGCAAAGCAUCCCUCAUUUUGAAAAAAAUUUGAAACUUCUGAAGAGAUUUUGAAAAAGAACAAGAGAGCUGUGAGUUCCUCUUUUUGUAAAGCAGAGAGGAAGCAGGAACAGAAUCAUGGCUCUGAAUGGUGGUUUUGUUUCCUGGUCUGCUCUGCUCAAUGCUUUAUGCAGGUUUUUCUGCAGACUAAUCCUGUGCACAUCCCCCUGUCUCCACCAAGGGCUUAAUUGCUAUUAGUUACUGGUAGUACAGCCUUCCUUAAAAUAGAAAUAUAUCCCAGUGUGUUCAGUGAGGGAAAAUUGGAUCUUUGUGGAACAGAGACUCCCAAAAUUGAAGUCCACUGAUGUUAUUAUGGACAUUGAAGGGAGACAGACAAUAAUAAACUCUCCCAAUCAUGGGAUCCAGGAUGUAAAAAACACGUCCCAGGUUCUAAAUGAAAAUUCUUAUGUGAUGACAUGAAAGAUCUGUUCCUUAGCAAGCUGUGGAGGUGGGAGAGCAAAGAGAAACCAAUGAAGAAAAGGGAUGGUGGUGGAAGAGGGGGCAGCUCCCAAAGGAAACACUGCCUCAGCCCAUUGCCUGACAAAGGAAGAUUGAUGUCUUCCUUGCUUGUGCUUUCUUCCUUCCCACUGCUGGGACUGUGGAACAUCCUUGAAAGAAGCAAGGAAAUGAUGUUUAGUAACUGGGACCUGACUGUCUCUCCUUUGCUGAGAUAUGAGUCCUUACCUGUAGGCUGAGAAAGGGACCAGCAUGAAGGACUAGGAGGUGUAGAGGAGGACUAGGAGGUGUAGAGACUAGACAACCUGAGAGGGUAGUUGUGAGUGAAAGAUAACAAUCGGAGACUGGUCCACUCUCUGAGAGCAUCCUUGCAUAAAGAUACACCAAGAAUCUAAUUUUCUGCUCCCUGUACUGUUCAGCAGAAGGACUGUGCUCAUGACACUGGAAUGAACUAUCAUAUAAUUAGAAGGAAAAUCUCUGCUAGAUUACAAAUACUGCUUAUAUAAGGACUUCUUUAAAGUUUCAGGAAAUAACAGUCUCAACUGAAAAUGUGAUUUUGUAAUAAACUGGUAAAUUACUAGCUCUAAUAUGCAUUAAGUAAACCUUCAAAAUUGAAUUCAGCAAUAUAUCCACGCAGAUCUCAGAAUAUAGGAAUGAAAUGUAAAAAUAGUAUCAUUUUGAAGUUGAGAAUUUCUGAAAAGUUGUCCAAAUAACCUGAAUUCAAGGAUGACAUUUUCAUGCUAACUCUCCUUAACCCACCAGAAAUAUUUUUUCUCUCUGCUUUUCAUACGUGAAGCUCUUUAAUAGCUGUGGUGAUGUGAUUUCUGAACUAUUUGCUUAACCUAUCAAUUAUCUGGUUUAAUUAAAGCUGGCCAUCAGCACCUGUUUUUUCAUCCUUUAUUAGGUGAUGGAAAUAUCCAAUUAAGAGAUGAGAAGCACCUUGUUUUCAGGUUAACAGGAUGUUUUUUUCAAAGAAAACAAGGCUUUUUUUGUUUGUUGCUUUAUAGAGAGAGUAAAUGUUUACUACCCGGAGGUAUCAAGUCAAUGUGAAGCAACAAUUUGUGAUAUCUGUUCCAGUACAAAUUCAUUUGUCCCAUAAUAAGUUGAGGUAGACACAGAAAAACAGAGUGCAAUUUAAUUGAUUUUUGAAUAAAUAUUCUGUUUCCAAAGGAAGUUAAUGUUUCUGUAAAUACUUAUUUCUGUUUCAGCAUUAAUAUGCUAAAACAAUCGGUUUUCCUUCUGGAAAUUUUUCCUGGAAUUGUGAUUACUGAGUUCUCUCAACACAAAGGAGCUACUAGAGAAACACUACCCCAAGAAAAGCUGUAAGUGCUUGAGGUUUAAAUUUAUACAUUUCCUUAUCCAAGAACAUUUCAGAUUUUGACUUUCCUAAUCUGGAUUCUCCCCUUUUACUCUCAUGUGGAAAAUGUACUUCUGCCUUAUUUCUGAAGUCAGUACCAUUGCUUUCCUCUAGAUUUUUGCCUGUUGGAGACAUGAGUCUUGCACUGGUGUCCAAGAUAGAUUUAAGCAAAUGCUGUGAUGCCUAAAUUCAAAAUACAGAGUGAUUCAGUGUUAACACCUUUGUGAGCUAACAGGCUGUGGCUGUAUAAACAGUCAGCAGAGAGAAAGCUGAAUCUGGUGUCUACAAGAGAGAGUUUGAAUAAGGCUGCUUCACUGAUGCUUUACUGUAUCACACAAAAAUGAUUUUUAAAAAUAUUUUCCAACCUUUUAUAUAUAGCCUAAACCUCUUUCUUGCUUUCUUCCUCGUUGUUGAGUUUAUGCCUCUGCUAAGCCUUCAAAAAUCUGGUCGUUUCUGCUGCUUUUGGAGGUGUCUUUCAUAUAAAAAGGAAAAGAUAAGCUCGUGGGUGUUGGUCUGUGAAUGGAGAUGCAGUCAGGGAAAUAACCCUCUCUGUACCCAUAAGUCUGAUCAGUGAAAAGGUGCAUAAAUGCUGAAAAGGGGUGUCUGUACAUAAGUGUAAGUCUGCACACAGAUGUAUACUUCGUCUAUGCUUACACUGUGUGUAUGAUAUAUGUGUCUGUAUAAAAAGAAUUCAAAUCCACUUUGCAGGUUUGCUGCUGCUGAAAGUGUGUGUUUCCAAAUCUAAACACCUGCACAUACAUAAAGGCUGGAUGUUUGAUUGUGCUGAGCUAUACGCUUUUCACACAUGCUCUUUGUAAUGUGGACUGCCUCCUCAAAGUAGACAUUUUAAACAUGCAGUCCCCAGGAAAAUAGGAAUUUAUCACUCACGAUAACAUGAAGCUGUCACAGGGUGUGUUCAAAAGCCCCCCUGCAACUUACUGAUAAAAAGCUUAACUCCAUUUCAGGGCUUAUCUGAAGAAGAAAGGGGUAGACCCUCAUGAAAUAACUGAAUUUUUUUUCAAGGAUGGAAAAAGAGAAGGAAAGGGAAGGAGCAGAAGAACAAAUGCAGCAGAACAAGUUUAACCCGUUGAGAUUUUCAGUAAAGUUUUGUGCUUCAUCAGGAAGAAUCCUGCAGUGAAACAUAUGUCAGAAGAGAAGCAGAUAUGAGAAAGCGGUCUCCUUUGCAGAUGAGAAGAUUAAUUAAGAGGGAAAUCACUUAGCCAGAUGUCUCACUGGUGAAACUGUACGUGCAAGGUACAUCUGCAAUGAGAGAUCAGCAGAGCAAAGACAGUGCAUUUGACUUCUUUGCUAACAUUAGAGAGAGAAGAGUCUGGUGUGAAUUAGAUCAUGCUGACCCUUGGAGAAAUUGAGGAGCAUGGAUCUGAUUUCAGCUACAAAUUACGAGCUACAUGCCUGUUACCAUGCUGCAUGAUCAUUGCUUGAUAUAGUCAAGUUAUGAGUUACAAAUAAAUUAUGCUGAGAAAAUAGUCCUUUUCUCUAUUUGUGCUCAUAACUUGCUGGCAAAUUCGGACUGAUUUCUCCAAAUGCCACUCUUAUUCUUUCACAGAGGAGUUUUACAGAAUGCUCUGCAGCUGGUGGAUUUCUCAGGAACUCAUUACUGGGGUAACUGUCAAAUUCAUUUGACUUAGGAACUGAAGUCUUUCAGAGAUAAGUUUAAAGCACGGUCUGUGUGCUGCCCAAGUACCUGCUCAGCUAAGGUGUUCAGGUACCUUUGUCACUGCAGCGUUGUGUUGACCCCUAUUUUUCAUGCAUUUCUUAUCACAGCUCAGAUGUGAAGAAAAAAAAAAAAGACCAAAUUCCUCCCCCUCAAAGCAAAUCAAACUGAAAAACCCAUCUCAACAAAACAACAAAGAUCCCCCUUGUGGCAAGCACUGUAUUUCGUAGAACUACAGAUUCAUAGAACAGCUUAGGUUGAAAGAGACCUUGAAGAUCAUCCAGUUCCAACCCCACUGCCAUGGAUAAGGUUGCCACAGAAUAAUUGUGCCAGUUGCUAAAUGACUUCUAAGCUGCAUCUUUUUCCCAAGCAUGUAUUACAGAACUCUAGAGUAAGAAGCAAAGAGCUGUUGCUCAGUGGAUCUGUUGGAGUUUGUUCUUGUUCCUGUCUCCUACCUGUUAUCAGUGACUUUCCAUAGCCAAGACUAGCCAGAGAAAGCAGUCGUUUUUCUACUACCUGUAAAAUUUCCAUGUGGUCUACCAGCUGUUUGGGGAAAGGGUGUCUGCGCAGCACCUCGCACAAUCACAUCUCUCUGUUGGCUUGAAUUUCUCUAUGCUAUAGGAAUACUAAUCCCUCCUCAACAAUAGAGACAGGCACUCUGCAGAGCAGACACACAAACAGACUUUCAUUAGAGAAUGCAGUCCCCAAAGCCUGUUUUACAAAAGGCUUUGCUGAUUGGACUCAGUCAUUUGAACAGUGAUGGGUACAGCGUAUGUUCCACAAGAGCCUCGAAAGAAAGGUGCAGCAGUAUCAGCAGUGAGAUGCAGACAUGGCACAAUUCUGUGUUAGUAAUCGGCUUAAACACAAACAGCCAAAGCUGAAUCUUUAACACCUAUUGUGUAAACUGUUGGUUGGAAAAUUUCUCCAUUUUUAUUUUUUAUUUUGUGAGGGGCAGAUCUCAGAAUUGCUGAAAACUCCACGUUUUAUAACAGCAAGCUCCCAUCUCGAUGGGCAUCUGUCCUCUGACCCAGUUUAGCAAUUUGCCAGCAUCUCUGCUGUUAAUUGCUGAAAUUUCAGGUGCGUUCCGAGCCUUCUAAUUUGCAGACUUUCACAUCCCCAUCUCAGGCAUUGAAGCUGUUGAGGAGAAGCCCUGGAGUAUAAAGCCAAAUCUUCCAAUUCAUAUGCACAAUGGUGGAAGACAAAUAUACAGGCAGGGGCUUUCAAUUUACAUAAACGCUUUGUGGUACACAUUUUGAGCCUGCUGUGCUAAAAGUGGGAGGUUAUUAUAAUCUACAGAUUUCCUCACUUAUAAAUACUCACAGAUUUACCAAUGAAGACCAAUGUUUUUGUAAUCAGUAGCCCCAACUUUUUGUUCUUUAGUUACUGUCACAGGCAAGCGAUUGAGGCUGAUGAAAUCGAAUCUGCCUCCGAAGCAGUGAACGGUGUGGUUAAAAGGCUAAAAGACCAUUUGAGCUUUCCACAGGCCACAUGUGAAAGCACUGGUAUUGCUCCAGGAACAUUCAAAGGACCACUUUACAGCCUUUGAGGUUCAGUCCUGCCUUCUCUGAUCACCUUCUCUGUGGGGAUGAACACCUUUGAACCCCAGCAUUGGCUUUGCAUAGCUCACUGCCUCUCCAGACUGCACUUUUGACCCAGUGAUGCUGGUUUACGUGAGUACUUCACCUCAUGUGAGUUGCUCAUUGCCUCAGAACUGACUCACUGCAGUCCAACAGGAAGAGGGCAAAAGCUGCAGUUAGAGUAGAGAUUGCCCAACUUAUGGAAUGCUUCCAAUUUUGUAAUAAGUCAGGCAGUUACUUCCUGUGCAUCUGAACAGAGUUUGGAAGAAGGAAAUAUGUCACUAGAAGGUGAUAUACCUAGAAAUUAUGUAUUUGAAAGUCAGGAAGGUCACAUCUCUUUAGUGAAUCUAGGUCUUAAUGAAAAUAACAACAGUAAUGACAUGAAAAAGAAGAAAGAAAAUGGAGAUACAUUCACAGCACAGUAUUAUAUUGAAUCUGAGCCAGUGAAUUUGAGGUCCUAGCUCCAUUUUUGGCUUUGUUAGCAGAGUUCUUUCCUUAGGUAUUCCUGGAUUCUAGCCACAUGCAAACAUCCAUUACAGAAGAAUGAUGGAGUAAAUAUUUUACGCACUGCCUGAUAACCAGCAGAGUGAACUACUGGCUCACCCAACUCUCCAUUGAGUAUACAGAGACCCCACUGAGAGCGAUGGGAUUUCAGAGCCAGGCACGGCUCCCUGACAUUAUAAGGUAUGGCACCCCUAUCGAGAAGCAGAAUACAUUUGCUGACUUGGCAGAGGUGAACAGUUUAAAUGUGAAACAGCAAUCUGCUCCCACCUGGAUUGGUAGGAUCGUACUGUACGUAUAGAAUUAAUAAAAAUCCCUUAUCAGCUGCAAGUGAACACAAGGAGAUAAGCAAAGAACACAGGCAAUUAGGUAACUUAACCCUGCUUAAUUUACAUCAGUAGGCAGCUGCUCUGCAGUCUCACCUGCGAGUACCCAGGAAUAAUUAAUAUAGUCAGUAAUAAUUCAUAUAUUCGGUCUAGUCAAAGGGUUUUAGUGAUUCUCUGUACAUUUUCACACCCAUUUCAAAGAUUUUCACUAUAGUUCUGAAGAAAAUGUGUUUUCCCAAAUGCUUUGCCUUUCUGGUAAACAUCUGCCGUCCAUACUGUGCUGCUCCUGGUAGUACAUCGGCCUUUUGAUGUCUUGUAACUUACAAAAAUUACUGGAAUUUUACUAACAAAUAAGACCUUUGUCCCCAGACCUGACCCCCAAAACUUCAACCAUUAUACCAAUAAUGCCCUGGUUUUACUGUACCAGAGUAUGUUACAGACUUCUCUUGAAUUUUAUUCUUUCUCUGUCAUUUGAUCCAUGUAAUUAAAAAAUAAACAGAUAAACAAAGCAAAACAAAAAAAACCCCACUGAAAACAAUAACCAGAGGGACACUGAGUGAAAUAAGAUACAUUCUGUCUGAAUCAGUAAGAGAAAUUAUGAGAGCAAGUAAAGAAUAGAAAGUCUUUUUUUUUUUUUUUUUUCAGGCUGAAUUCUUAUUCUAGCUAGAUUGGAAAUCACUUAUUUGGUGUUUUGAACUGGUCCUUGGCUUGUCACCUGGCCAAGUCUGUCACUAGAGAUGAAAAGUUGGGUCUGGACCCUUGGUGAUACUGCACAAGGAGCAAAAUGAACCUCACUGAGUCACUACCACCCUCCUGCACAUGUAUUGAGAGCACCAAUGGAAGUCAUUUAUUCAAGUUUUUGUAAACCCAAACUCUCAGAAUUCUCAAUUAGCCUGCCUGUUUCUUUCCUGUCUAUAAUAGAAAACAAAUGGUAACAGAAACAAUAGUAAACAAAUCAUUAUCUCCCAAACUGCUGAAUAAUAUAGAAUAACAUAUAAGAUAACGCUGACGUCUAAUCUUUGGAGUUGGUUGGAACUUGCAAAAUGGAAUAAAGGGUAAACAGAAAUUGCUGCCUGGGAUUCCAGAGCUACUGCUCGCUGUGCUGUUUCUGCUGGAUCAGCCUGUCCCAUUCAAAGCUCAGGAAGCACCGCUGCCAUGAGAGUCCAUACAGACCAAAUAUUCUGACAGCGCAGCCCGAAUUUCCAGCAGCUCCCAGCAAUCCUGUCUGCACAUUUUGUCUUCAUUACUGAUACCACGGAAUGAUAAACAAUUCUGCUAUUGGCAGUUUGUUUAUUAAAAACAUUACAAAAUUACUGCCUCAAAUUAAAACAGGAAAGAUUAUACCAAAAUCGUGAAGGAGGGGGUCACAUCCUGCUGUUGCAGCGCUGAAAACUUUCCUCAGUUUAUCAGACCAGAAUCCAUCCCCUUCUCUUCCGCUUUCUUUUUUUAUGCUAACCCAAAAGGAAUGCAGGCAUGCUGCC